ACGAGUUUGAUCCUGGCUCAGGAUGAACGCUAGCGGCAGGCUUAAUACAUGCAAGUCAAGGGGGUAGCAAUACUACCGGCGCACGGGUGAGUAACACGUACAUAACAUACCAUAUACUGGGGUAUAGCUUUGGGAAACUGAAGGUAAUCCCCCAUAACAUUGCGAGAGGGCAUCUGAUUGCAAUUAAAGUUUCGACGGUAUAUGAUUGAUGUGCGUUUGAUUAGCUUGUUGGUAGGGUAACGGCCCACCAAGGCGACGAUCAAUAGCUGGCGUGAGAGCGCGACCAGCCACACUGGAACUGAGACACGGUCCAGACUCCUACGGGAGGCAGCAGUAGGGAAUAUUGGACAAUGGGCGAAAGCCUGAUCCAGCCAUGCCGCGUGAUAGAUGAAGGCCCUCUGGGUUGUAAAUAUCUUUUAUCUGGGAAGAAACAAUCUUAUUCUUAAGAUCUUGACGGUACCAGAGGAAUAAGCACCGGCUAACUCCGUG
rnacentral:rRNA from 1 species